rnacentral:ncRNA from 1 species
ACAUGUCCAUACAACUGGCGGAUAAGUGGGUAACCACAUGGGAGUAUGGAUGAAUAUAUGUUGAGUCGACCGCCUGGGCAACCGCU